AAAUAUAAAUUAAUAUUUAAUAGUCCGGAUUGUUAAAUUAAUUAUAUAAGGUGGUGGCACAAAAUCGGAGGCCCCGACUGUUUACUAAAAACACAACACAGUGCAAUCAUUAAUAUGAUAGUAUACUGUGUGAAAUUUGCCCGAUGCCAUUAAUAUAAGAGCGGUUAUGGGGAACUGUGACUAAUCGAAAAUCUGGUUAAUAGCGGUCUUAACUAUGAGGAUCCUAAGGUAGCAAAAUCAGUUGGCCAUUAAAUGUGGUCCGGUAUCAAUAAUGUAACGAUGGCCUCACUGUCUCUACAACUUGCUCAGUGAAAUUGAAUUACACGUGCAGAUGCGUGUUGCCUCCAGGGGGACGGGAAGACCCUAUGCAGCU
rnacentral:rRNA from 1 species